UACGUAGGGGGCAAGCGUUGUCCGGAUUUAUUGGGCGUAAAGAGCGUGUAGGCGGCUAGACAGGUCUGUUGUGAAAACUCGAGGCUCAACCUCGAGAUGUCGGCGGAAACCGUCUGGCUAGAGUCCGGAAGAGGAGAGUGGAAUUCCUGGUGUAGCGGUGAAAUGCGCAGAUAUCAGGAAGAACACCUAUGGCGAAGGCAGCUCUCUGGGACGGUACUGACGCUGAGACGCGAAAGCGUGGGGAGCGAACAGG
rnacentral:rRNA from 1 species